UGUGAUGUGAUGUAGUGGUUUGACUAUUAGACUACCACUCUGGAGAUCAGGGUUCAAAACCCUGCUCAGCUA